rnacentral:rRNA from 1 species
ACGGGUGAGUAACACGUAGGAAACCUGCCUUUAAGACUGGGAUAACUAUCGGAAACGAUAGCUAAGACCGGAUAACUGAUUUUCUCGCAUGAGAGAAUCAUAAAACACGGAGCAAUCUGUGGCUUAAAGAUGGGCCUGCGGCGCAUUAGCUAGUUGGUGAGGUAACGGCUCACCAAGGCGACGAUGCGUAGCCGACCUGAGAGGGUGAACGGCCACACUGGGACUGAGACACGGCCCAGACUCCUACGGGAGGCAGCAGUAGGGAAUCUUCCGCAAUGGACGCAAGUCUGACGGAGCAACGCCGCGUGAGUGAUGAAGGUUUUCGGAUCGUAAAGCUCUGUUGCCCUAGACGAACAGCAAGAGGAGUAACUGCCUUUUGUGUGACGGUAUAGGAGAAGAAAGCCCCGGCUAACUACGUGCCAGCAGCCGCGGUAAUACGUAGGGGGCAAGCGUUGUCCGGAAUUAUUGGGCGUAAAGCGCGCGCAGGCGGUCAUUUAAGUCUGGUGUUUAAUCCUGGGGCUCAACCCCAGUUCGCAUCGGAAACUGGAUGACUUGAGUGUAAGAGAGGAAAGUGGAAUUCCACGUGUAGC